GUGGGGAAUAUUGGACAAUGGGCGAAAGCCUGAUCCAGCAAUGCCGCGUGAGUGAUGAAGGCCUUAGGGUUGUAAAGCUCUUUUACCAGGGAUGAUAAUUACAGUACCUGGAGAAUAAGCUCCGGCUAACUCCGUGCCAGCAGCCGCGGUAAUACGGAGGGAGCUAGCGUUGUUCGGAAUUACUGGGCGUAAAGCGCACGUAGGCGGUUACUCAAGUCAGAGGUGAAAGCCCGGGGCUCAACCCCGGAACUGCCUUUGAAACUAGGUAACUAGAAUCUUGGAGAGGUCAGUGGAAUUCCGAGUGUAGAGGUGAAAUUCGUAGAUAUUCGGAAGAACACCAGUGGCGAAGGCGACUGACUGGACAAGUAUUGACGCUGAGGUGCGAAAGCGUGGGGAGCAAACAGGAUUAGAAACCCUGGUAGUCC
rnacentral:rRNA from 1 species